rnacentral:rRNA from 1 species
CCUGAUCAGCCAUGCCGCGUGUGUGAAGAAGGCCUUCGGGUUGUAAAGCACUUUCAGCGAGGAAGAACGCCUUGGGAUUAAUACUCUCGAGGAAAGACAUCACUCGCAGAAGAAGCACCGGCUAACUCCGUGCCAGCAGCCGCGGUAAUACGGAGGGUGCAAGCGUUAAUCGGAAUUACUGGGCGUAAAGCGCGCGUAGGUGGCUAAGUCAGCCAGGUGUGAAAGCCCCGGGCUCAACCUGGGAACGGCAUCUGGAACUGCUUGGCUAGAGUGCAGGAGAGGAAGGUAGAAUUCCCGGUGUAGCGGUGAAAUGCGUAGAGAUCGGGAGGAAUACCAGUGGCGAAGGCGGCCUUCUGGACUGACACUGACACUGAGGUGCGAAAGCGUGGGUAGCAAACAGGAUUAGAUACCCUGGUAGUCCACGCCGUAAACGAUGUCAACUAGCCGUUGGGUCCCUUGAGGACUUAGUGGCGCAGCUAACGCAAUAAGUUGACCGCCUGGGGAGUACGGCCGCAAGGUUAAAACU